UACGGAGGGUGCAAGCGUUAUCCGGAUUCACUGGGUUUAAAGGGUGCGUAGGCGGGUAAGUAAGUCCGUGGUGAAAUCUCUGAGCUUAACUCAGAAACUGCCGUGGAUACUAUUUGCCUUGAAUAUUGUGGAGGUGAGCGGAAUAUGUCAUGUAGCGGUGAAAUGCUUAGAUAUGACAUAGAACACCAAUUGCGAAGGCAGCUCACCACACAAUCAUUGACGCUGAGGCACGAAAGCGUGGGGAUCAAACAGG
rnacentral:rRNA from 1 species